CGGGGCAGAGAAAGGCCUUUCCAGAGGUCCCCGCCAACACAGACACGCUGGAGGCUGCCCCUGUGUCGGAGCACCGAGGCGGGGAACAUGGCUGUGUUGCAGCAGGAGCCUGGCCUGGGAGGUGCUGGCCUGGUCUGGGGCUUUGCGUGGGCUGCUCCCCUCAGCUUGAAAUCUGCAUGCCUAUCUUUCCGCCUACCUACUCUGAACUCCUCAGGGACCUCACCUGACCCAGAGUCAGGCCAUGACGUGAAGGGAUCCUGGCCUAGUUCCUGCAUCCCCGGCCCGGCUGGGGAGACAGGACAAACCAACAUCAAACAUGUCAAGAAUGAAGCACGACCACAAGUUCACGUGACCCGGCGUUUUUCUAGAAGACAAACAGAGCUGUAAGGGAGGAUGCCGUGGUCAGCAUGAGGCCUGGAACAGAGACAGAAAUGACGAGAGUGAAUUUGGAAGACCCAAGGCCCCACACUUUGGAGCACUCAGCUUAGGGGAGUGCUCAGUCCCAGCCCCCUUCUCAAUUUUCACUUGGUCUACAGUGAGGGACUCAUAGCUUCACAGCUCUUACAGGGACAUCCUGUAGCUAUGGGGCCAGCAUGGGCAGAUGCUCCAGGCUUCUUUGUCAUGCAUGGUAGCCAGGGGCACAGGCUGAAGCCCAAGGACCCACCUAGAGGAUGAAUGGACAUUGUUCUGAAAAAUCACUGGGAGGCGGGCAUUUGGCCCAGCGGUGAAGACAGCCAUGUCAUAUACCAGAGUGCCUGAGUUCAAUGCCUGGCUCUGCUCUUAGCUCCAGCUUCCUGCUGAUGCGGAUCCUGGGAGGCAGUGGGGACAGCGCCAAUGACUGGGCUCCUACCACCCACAUGGGAGACCCGAACUGAAUUCCUGGCUCCUGACUUUGGCUCUAGUCAGGGGCCAGUGGAUGGGGGUUCUCUCUGACUCUCAAAGAAAUAACAAUUUGAGUGUUAGCCCUUCUGUAGGCAGGAACCAAAUGAUAGGGCUUUUAGGAACGAGUUUCUCUUUCUCAAUAUGGAUUUAGACUGUACAGUUGGUGAGAAUAAACACUUGUAUUUUGCAGGG